UGUGAUCCUGCCAGUAGUCAUAUGCUUGUCUCAAAGAUUAAGCCAUGCAUGUCUCAGUACAAGCCAAAUUAAGGUGAAACCGCGAAAGGCUCAUUAAAUCAGUUAUGGUUCCUUAGAUCGUACCCACACUUACUUGGAUAACUGUGGUAAUUCUAGAGCUAAUACAUGCAAACAGAGCUCCGACCGGAGAUGGAAGGAGUGCUUUUAUUAGAUCAAAACCAAUCGGUGGCGGGUCACUUUGUGGCUCGUUAUCGUACACUUUGGUGACUCUGAAUAACUUUACGCUGAUCGCACGGUCCUCGCACCGGCGACGCAUCUUUCAAAUGUCUGCCUUAUCAACUGUCGAUGGUAGGUUCUGCGCCUACCAUGGUUGUAACGGGUAACGGGGAAUCAGGGUUCGAUUCCGGAGAGGGAGCCUGAGAAACGGCUACCACAUCCAAGGAAGGCAGCAGGCGCGCAAAUUACCCACUCCCGGCACGGGGAGGUAGUGACGAAAAAUAACGAUACGGGACUCAUCCGAGGCCCCGUAAUCGGAAUGAGUACACUCUAAACCCUUUAACGAGGAUCAAUUGGAGGGCAAGUCUGGUGCCAGCAGCCGCGGUAAUUCCAGCUCCAAUAGCGUAUAUUAAAGUUGUUGCGGUUAAAAAGCUCGUAGUCGAAUUUGUGUCUCGCGCCGCCGGUUCAUCGUCCGCGGUGUUAACUGGCGUGUCGCGAGACGUCCUGCCGGUGGGCUCUCGUUCUGCGUAUUGUGACACGUUUGAUCAUUCGGUAUCCAAUCCGGAGGUCGGCGGCGUUCCGUGCGUAUGAGCGGACCCAACUCAAUCCUGCCGCGGUGCUCUUCAUUGAGUGUCGAGGUGGGCCGGCACGUUUACUUUGAACAAAUUAGAGUGCUUAAAGCAGGCUAAAAUUUCGCCUGAAUACUGUGUGCAUGGAAUAAUGGAAUAGGACCUCGGUUCUAUUUUGUUGGUUUUCGGAACUCCGAGGUAAUGAUUAAUAGGAACGGAUGGGGGCAUUCGUAUUGCGACGUUAGAGGUGAAAUUCUUGGAUCGUCGCAAGACGGACAGAAGCGAAAGCAUUUGCCAAAAACGCUUUCAUUGAUCAAGAACGAAAGUUAGAGGUUCGAGGCGAUCAGAUACCGCCCUAGUUCUAACCAUAAACGAUGCCAGCUAGCGAUCCGUCGACGUUCCUCCGAUGACUCGACGGGCAGCUUCCGGGAAACCAAAGCUUUUGGGUUCCGGGGGAAGUAUGGUUGCAAAGCUGAAACUUAAAGGAAUUGACGGAAGGGCACCACCAGGAGUGGAGCCUGCGGCUUAAUUUGACUCAACACGGGAAACCUCACCAGGCCCGGACACCGGAAGGAUUGACAGAUUGAGAGCUCUUUCUUGAUUCGGUGGGUGGUGGUGCAUGGCCGUUCUUAGUUGGUGGAGCGAUUUGUCUGGUUAAUUCCGAUAACGAACGAGACUCUAGCCUGCUAACUAGGCGUAUUUUGACAUCCCAAAGGCCCGCCGGCUAGAUGUCGUUGCGUAAUUCGCGGUUGUCAUAACCGUGGGUUGCGUGCGCUCGGUCGUGCGCGGUUUUUACUGUCGGCGUACAAACAAUUCUUCUUAGAGGGACAGGCGGCUUCUAGCCGCACGAGAUUGAGCAAUAACAGGUCUGUGAUGCCCUUAGAUGUUCUGGGCCGCACGCGCGCUACACUGAAGGAAUCAGCGUGUCCUCCCUGGCCGAGUGGCCCGGGUAACCCGCUGAACCUCCUUCGUGCUAGGGAUUGGGGCUUGCAAUUGUUCCCCAUGAACGAGGAAUUCCCAGUAAGCGCGAGUCAUAAGCUCGCGUUGAUUA
rnacentral:rRNA from 1 species